AAGACUAUACUUUCAGGGAUCAUUUCUAUAGUAUGUGACUAGAGAAGUUUCUCUGAGAGUACUCGAAGCCAUGAGGAGGAGUCAGAGCAUUCCCUCCUGAGCGUGAAGCCGGCUCUAGGUGUCACUUCUGCGACUGCCUUUGACCAUUGAUGAUCGUUAUCCCUUUUCUCUGGAAAGGGUAGAGGGAGAGGAUGCAGUCUGAGUGGU